rnacentral:misc_RNA from 1 species
GCCUCGUGUUGCUCUUUCCUUCGAAAAAGGAGGAAGAAGAAAUCGUCCAACGAUCUGGCAGGCACGCUGGUAUGCACAGAGACCCGCUCUUGUGUGUGCGUGACUCUGUGUGUGCGGCGGCGGCUGUGGUUAUUGAUAUCCCACCCAAGACAAGCUUCGAAGCAUUCACGCACCCCACACGUGCGUGCACGGCCAGUCAGAGGAGGCCGAAGGCGCCCGAAGCACUGCUGAGAUGAAGGACAGGCAAAGUUCGAAUGGGAGUGCCUCGUUGCAGGGGCGUCGCAACGGCAGCGCAAACAGCAACGACGAUUCCGACCACCGCGGCGCGCGCCCCUUCUCUCCUCAAGGGCGGGGCGGCGGCGCCUCGUCUCGCUCGUGGUCACGCAAGCGCGAGGCCACGCGCCCCCGUGUCUCUGUCGAGGAUCGGAUGGCACAGCCCAUCAAGCACGUCGUCCCGCUUGACCUCUCGUUCGGCAACUUCGAGUUCCAAGAAAUGAAGAGCCUCGGUAAGCGCGGUGGUGGUGUGCGUGAGCUAUCGUCGCUGCUGCGUCAGGCGCGUCGCAAGGCCGCUACGCAUGUGGACAUGCUUCACACACGACAAGGCGCCGAGAUGCGCAGCGAGGAUCUGCUCUCCGCAGCGAUGCAGCGGUCCGCCGGCAUGAAGGUGAAGGACGACCCGCACCGCAUCGCCAAGGCUCUCGCGAAGCGCCGCAGCAAGAAGCGGCAGUCGGCGAAGCGCUGGGCAAGGCGCAUCCAGCACCUGGAGGACUCGGUCGAGAAUGUGGUGAAGGACCGGUCCAUUCAGAAGCAAACAAUGAAGGCGCGCAAGGAAGCCAAGGUCCGUGCGAAGAUGAAGAAGCGCGAGGCUACCGUUGGUGGCGGUGGUGGCAGCGGCAAGAAGACGGGGGCAAAAAAGCAGAAGAACUUCGGCGGGAAGCAGCAGCGCAAGGGUGGCAGUCGCGGCCGAACGACGCGCUGACCGAGUUUCGACUCUCGAUGGAAGAAGAGCGAAAAAAAAGGCAGAAGACGUCUGCGGGGGUGUGCAGUGCGUGUGCGUGUGCGUGUGUGUGUGUGUGUGUGUGUGUGUCUUCGCGCGCUUUUUCCUUUGACCCGCUACGUGGGCACUGCACGUCCACGCCAGCGUCUUCUGUCUUUCCGUAACACACUCGAUUAACCGGAACCCCCCCCGCCUGAUCUCGUGUACUCUCGGUGGCGUUUCCCAGCGGAUGAAGAAGCCGAGACGCAGUGGCCUAUGUGCUCCUCUGUCGUCCCUUGUAUCCCAGUGAGGAUGAAGGAGGGGAGGGCGACGCGUGAUGUGGCGGUUCUUUAGUUUUGGGUGGCGGUGGAGGGGGAGUGCGGUCGUGUUGCUCGUAUCCGCAGCUUUUCACUCCACAGACAUACACACACGCACGCCACGCCCUCCGCUGCUCCUCUUCGCGUCAUCCCUUACAUACGGAAUGAGCGAAGCGCGUGACCUCCUCUUCCCUUCGUCUCCCAUCGGCCCUCGCGCGCCUCCGCAUGAAAAGACGGCAUGAGUGACAGCAUCGCUAACGCACCGAUAAUACGAGAAGGGGCUGUUGGUGCUGCUUCCGCUUCUUCUCCAUCAGUUCUUCCUCUCCCUCGCUCUCUCCUCUACCGACUGCUGGCCGCAUUGCACGGAUGUGCGCAACGCCCGCGCACGCGCGGGCCCGACCUCUUGCGCUCGGCACUUCAUAG